CUGGCGGCAUGCUUUACACAUGCAAGUCGGACGGCAGCACAGAGAAGCUUGCUUCUUGGGUGGCGAGUGGCGAACGGGUGAGUAACAUAUCGGAACGUACCGAGUAGUGGGGGAUAACUGAUCGAAAGAUCAGCUAAUACCGCAUACGUCUUGAGAGGGAAAGCAGGGGACCUUCGGGCCUUGCGCUAUUCGAGCGGCCGAUAUCUGAUUAGCUAGUUGGUGGGGUAAAGGCCUACCAAGGCGACGAUCAGUAGCGGGUCUGAGAGGAUGAUCCGCCACACUGGGACUGAGACACGGCCCAGACUCCUACGGGAGGCAGCAGUGGGGAAUUUUGGACAAUGGGCGCAAGCCUGAUCCAGCCAUGCCGCGUGUCUGAAGAAGGCCUUCGGGUUGUAAAGGACUUUUGUCAGGGAAGAAAAGGCUGUUGCUAAUAUCAGCGGCUGAUGACGGUACCUGAAGAAUAAGCACCGGCUAACUACGUGCCAGCAGCCGCGGUAAUACGUAGGGUGCGAGCGUUAAUCGGAAUUACUGGGCGUAAAGCGAGCGCAGACGGUUACUUAAGCAGGAUGUGAAAUCCCCGGGCUCAACCUGGGAACUGCGUUCUGAACUGGGUGACUAGAGUGUGUCAGAGGGAGGU
rnacentral:rRNA from 1 species